ensembl:lncRNA
AGACAGACAGACAGACAGUUAAAGAAACAGACAGACAGUUAAAGAGACAGACAGUUAAAGAGACAGACAGGCAGACAGUUAAAGAGACAGACAGACAGACACUUAAAUAGACAGACAGAGAGACAGACAGUUAAAGAUACAGACAGAGAGAGAUAAAUAAACUGACAUGUUUAUUAUGUAAAUGAUGGCUUUGUGUCCAUUGUUAAUGAAAUAAAAUGGAAUGGAAUUGAAGACAGACAGAUUGUGAUGUAAUAUAUUGGAACUUGUCUCAGUGU